rnacentral:ncRNA from 1 species
GAUUGCACCCUUUAUGGUUUUGUGAAUCAGAAUAUGCAUUUCAAGAAUUGUUUUAUUCAGUAAUAAAAUUAUGUUAUAUCUAUAGCUUCUUUACUGACUCAGUGAAGCAGAGAGGGGUCAAAGGGACCACAUUUCUAACAUUAAGUGUGGAGACUCUGAGCCCCUUAUGAUGUGCUCUGAGGACAGUGUCAGGCGGAGAGUUUGACUGGGAUGGUACGUCUGUCAAAAGAUAAUGUAGGUAUUCUAAGACAAGCUCAGCAGGGACAGAAACCUUUCUUAGAGUAAAAGGGCAAAAGCUAGCUUGAUCUAUAGCUAUGUUCGUCUGUAAGUUUCCUCCUAGUAGUACGCAGUUAAGCCAGCACGAUCUAUAACCAUUAGCCGUGAUUGAAAGGUAAAGGUGCACAUGUGUGGUAAAGGUAAAGGUGCACAUGUGUAUGUGUGUAUGAGCAUAUAUAUGUGUGUGUGUGUAUACACACACAUAGAUAUGUAUGCACAGAGAUACAUGCAUACAUAGAUACAUUUCUGAAUUUGGUCCUGAUAACAGAAGAGUACCAGAUUCUGUGAAUAAUGUCUCCUUUUUAAAAAAUAAAUUGUAUUCAUUUAUAGUCACAAUAAUC